UAGUUUGUAGUCAUCCUCAGGAUUAAGAAAUUGAUUAUUACAUUUUAAUUAUUACGUUAUUUUUGAUUAUUAUUAUUUUUCUUCAAUCCUGAGGAUGACUACAAACUA